AUCCUCUACACAACUCUCAGUGAACAUUCAGCAAUACGUGCAACUUCUUUACUUACUCCCCUCUUCCUUCUACCAAGACCACUUCUAGCCAAGAGCAUGGUAUAGAUGUGUUUCCUCUCAUUGGUGUCAUAUUGUUUCCUUUUUUCCUUAUUGGCAAGUACAUCUGUUAUUUGAAGCGUAAACAAAUAUGAUGAGUGCACAUGUAUUUUGAAAAAAUCGACUAACUUAGGUCCAAACUUACUUAGGUCCAGUAUCUACUUCUGGGCAAGCGGAAACCCCGGUAGAGGUGGGCAAGCAUCCAUGUGCUCAAACACACCAGCGUCAUGAGUAAAUUCGAAGUUGCCAAAGCUGUACACAGAAAAGCUUCAUGAGUACAUAUUGAAACGAAAAACUUUUUGUUCAAAAGGAAUACAAAUGCACUUACGUAUAGUUGCUAUCAAAGCCACCGGCGUAUCCAGGUCCGUCGUCAUUUUCUUCGACACCGGGGUUGCGCGAAGUGCCACUACCGCUACCUUUUCGUGAACGUCGACCCCUACUGUUCCUCGGAGGUCCUAAGAUAUGUCACAAAAAUUUAUAUGUACAGAUUUACAUCAGAUUAUAGAAUACAUUACAAUUAUACAAACUGUAUGUUUCAUCGAAGAUCAGAUCACAUACUCUCUGCCAUGCUCUUGCCACGAGUUGCACCUCGUGCCCGAUUGGUCCCGCCGCCACGAGUUCCUCCUGCCUCACCCGUACCACCGUCAACAUGCUCCUGCUCGUCACGAUCGUCAAGUCCAAAGCCUUGCUCGUUCCCGUUGUGCCGCUCGACGUCGACAAAAGAUCCUGAUGCGCUGCUCCCGCCAAUGGCCGGCCGACUUGCACCACCACGAACACACCGAGGACGGGCUGCACCUCGUGCC
rnacentral:lncRNA from 1 species